CGGAGGGUGCGAGCGUUGUCCGGAAUCAUUGGGCGUAAAGGGCGCGUAGGUGGCCCGGUCAGUCCGUGGUGAAAGCGCGGGGCUCAACCCUGCGUCGGCCAUGGAUACUGCCGCGGCUGGAGCACUGUAGAGGCAGGCGGAAUUCCGGGUGUAGCGGUGGAAUGCGUAGAGAUCCGGAAGAACACCGGUGGCGAAGGCGGCCUGCUGGGCAGUGGGGGCAACCCCUUCAAGCUGACACUGAGGCGCGACAGCGUGGGGAGCAAACAGGAUUAGAUACCCUGGUAGUCCACGCCGUAAACGAUGGGCACUAGGCGCUUGGGGGAGCGACCCCCCGAGGGCCGGCGCUAACGCAUUAAGUGCCCCGCCUGGGGAGUACGGCCGCAAGGCUG
rnacentral:rRNA from 1 species